rnacentral:lncRNA from 1 species
GGCAGGACGGGACCGGUGAGCAGCUCCUCCAAACAGCUAUAGAGACCCAGAAAUGCCUGUGGAAAGCUACAGAGGACUUGGGCAAGGCGUUAGAGCCGGACGUUGUGGUCCCUGGGGGAGCCAACCGGGGAGGGCAAGCAGUUAAGAAGGGAAGAUGAACAUAAAGUAGGGAAGAGCAAGAAUGAAUUGGAACCUAAGACACGAGCUGGUCAUUCUUUCACUGUCUCCAACUUUAAAGAUAUGAGUAUCCUUGCUAGAGGAGCUGACACUCUUUGCCACAGGACUAGACACACACACGGCUCAGGAAUCAAAAAAGGUGAAGGAAGACUCAGGGAAAAGCUUCUGCCCCAUCCCAACAAGGUGAACCAGCUGAUUGGUGACAAAGUAGAUGAGCCGCAGUAGCACCUAGUGUCCCUGCACCACCGUUUCAAGUAUAAAACUGGAGGGAUGCUUCAGUUCUCCCCUUCAAGACUUACACAACCAUGUCUCUGUUGGGCUAUUCUAACCAGAAACAAAAGGAAAGGAAAUUCUGGGAAACAUAGUUUAGCUUAGCAAAGUUGAUACAUUACAAAAUUACCACUGUCCACUCUGCAUCGAGUUGACAUCCAUACAGACCUCUUUAAAACACACUUUCAAAAUAAAGCCCACACCCUACACAUAAGCUAUCUCUAGAGAAAUUUGAAGUCUGUUGUGCACUGAGGAUAACCACAACAACAAACUGUAAACCUAGCCCAAUUUCUGACUAGACUGAUACCACCGAACCACCGCUAUGCACUCAAGAGCACUAAAGGCCUAGCAGAAGGAAAGACACACUCAUCUCCAAGCAUAAAAACAAUCUUUACUUCAUACUGUGAAGAGAGAAUUGAAAAAAUAAUUUAAGCAAAAAAAAUACAACAUGACCAACUUCUAACAGAAAGAAAAAAAGACGCAUACAGAAAGGCAAGAAAAAACACAGUCCAAAGAGAUAAAACAAUCAUUAGAACCAGAUUCAUAAGACAUAGACAUUAGAAAUAUCAGAGAAUUUUAAAUAACUGUGAUUAAUGUGAUGAAGGCCCUAAGGGGAAAGGUGAACAAAAUGCAAGCUCAGAUGGGUGAUUUUAGCAAAUAGAUGGAAACUAUCAGGAAAAAUAAAAUGGAAACUAUAAAAAUAAAAAAAUAUAAUAAUAGAGAUGAAGAAUGCCCUCCAUGGGCCCAUUAGGAGACUCAACACAGUUGAGGAAAAAAUCAGACUUGAAGGUAGGUAAAUAGAAAUUGCUGAAACACACACACACACACACACACACACACAAAAAGAGUGACAGAAACAGAACACAGCAUCCAAGACUGGUGGGAAAAUAUCAACAUCAAAUCAAGAAAUAGGCGCAGUGGCUCACGCCUGUAAUCCCAGCACUUGGGGAGGCCGAGGCAGGCAGAUCACGAGGUCAGGAGAUCGAGACCAUCCUAGCUAACGCAGUGAAACCCCGUCUCUAGUAAAAAUUCAAAAAAAUUCCCAGGCAUGGUAGCAGGCACCUGUCGUCCCAGCUACUUGGGAGGCUGAGGUAAGAGAAUUGCGUGAACCCGGGAGGCGGAGCUUGCAGUGAGCUGAGAUCACACCACUGCACUCCAGCCUGGGCAACAGAGCAAGACUCUAUCUCAAAAAAAAAAAAAAAAAUCAAGAAAUAAUGGCUGAGAAUUUCCAAAAUUUGUAAGACACCAAACCAAUCCAAGGAGCUCAGAGAACACAGAGCAGGAUAAAUUCUUUAAAAAGAAACUAAGCUUAUUGUAUUCAAACUAAGCUUAUUGUAUUGAUACCUGGUAGUUAUAACUUACCAAAUACACUGCCCAACAUCUCCAGAUGAUCUAUUAUUUCUGAAAGUUUCCUUUAUUACAUUUCUUACUUCAGGGAGAUAUAGCCUUCGCUUCAUGUUAUGGUCAGUGGUGCAGUCAGUAUUCUCAGAAAGAAAGUACUGGUUCCAUUUUACCUCCAUCUUUUGUUUCCUGUCAGAAAACCUACCAUACCACCAAGUACUCCUUCUCUACACUGCCUCUGAUAUUUAAGUAAUUUGAGAAUUCUGUUGAGACUAUCUCCCUUUUUUGGUAUGAUGAAUCUGGUCCUAAAUUGCAUGCCAAAGACUUUGAGAACUAAACUGUAGACCCAGAUCUCAUGUCCCAGACUGGCCUUUUGUUACCCACACAAUGAAUGGGUUAAAUUGCUUGGCAGGGGACAGUCCAAUGACCACAACCAAGGAGGAUUUCCCAGGGGGAUUUUAUUACUUGCGAUAAGUAAGGAGGACACUGGGGAAUAAUUCCCCAAAGCAAUGCCUCCCUGAGCAAUGGUGCAAACAUGGCUUUUAUUAGUCUGGUUAGCUGAGUCAUUGUAUGUAGAGGUGGAGUCAAGGCAGCGCAGUCCCAGUUGUCGGUCAUGCUGCUACAUAUGUCACAUGUAUAGAAAAUGGUGAAUAAGCUCCUCCUUGGACAGGAUUUUAAGUAUGGUGAUGAGGAAAGUUGGCCAAAGUUCAUCUCCAACUCAGGCAUCUCUGGGUCCAACUGGUCUUUGUUUUUCCUGGGCUAAGCUUCUUCCUGGAACUUUUUAAAACAAAAAUUCAAGAUGUAACAGUUACAAGUGUGUAACUUUUUCACAGUGCGUACCCAAAAACCCAAGGACCCUGGGUUACACUUUAGGUGCCACCCAUGUGGGACCUAUCAGAAGAGUACUACAAAGGCUUUGAAAACUGAACUGACAUUGGAACCACAACCCUCAGAAGGCUGGUCAAAACUUAUGACUUGAACCCAAGUGGGUUAAUUACCUUUUAAAACAUAAAUAUCAACAUCCUCCACCAAAUUUAACCAAGACCCAGAGCAUCCUAAUGACAUUCAAAAUGUCCAGGAUACAAUCGAUAUUAAUUGGCAGGUGAAGAACCAGGAAAAUCUCAACUCACGUUGGGAAAAAAUGUAACAGAUGCAGAAUGUAAGUUGCCACACAUGUUGGAAUUAUCAAGACUAUAAAGCUGCUAUUCAAAUGGAAAGUUUAAAAGUCUCAGAGAAGUAAUAGAAAAUAUAAAGAAUAGCCCCAUGGAAAUUUUAGAACGGGAAAAUACAAAAACCGUCAUCACAUCAUAUCCGGGGCACAUGCUGUCAACAUUGCUUAUCACUGUUGAUGUUAACCUUGAUCACCCGGCUGAGGUAGUAUUUGACGGGUUUCUCCCCUGUAAAGUUAUUCUUUCCCCUCCCCCUAUUUUACUGUUUAGUGGGAAGUCACUAUGUGCAGCCCAUGCCUAAAAAGGGAGUAGUUGGUGGGCACGGUGGCUCACGCCUGUAAUCCCAGCACUUUGGGAGGCUGAGUGGGUGGAUCACCUGAGGUCAGGAGUUCGAGACCAGCUUGGCCGACAUGGUGAAACCCCGUCUCUGCUAAAAAUACAAAAAUUAGCCAGGCAUGGUGGUGCACGCCUGUAAUCCCAGCUAUUCAGGAGGCUGAGGCAGGAGAACUGCUUGAACCUGGGAGGCAGAGAUUGCAGUGAUCCUGCCAUUGCACUCCAGCCUGGGCGACAAGAGCAAAAUUCCAUCUCAAAAGAAAAAAAAAGUGAGUAGUUAUAUUUCCCCUCCUUGCGGUGGAGUAUCUACAUUCUUCUGCAUGAGAAAUUUGUCAGUUAUCUCCUAUUUAUUCAAUUAUUUAUAUUAUGAACUCAUGGAUUCCUAUUUUAUACUUUGGGUAUAAUCCAAUACUAUGUUGUUUAUUUUACUGCUCAGAUUAUUCCUGUGUUGGCCAUUGGGAACUUU